AUUGAACGCUGGCGGCAUGCCUUACACAUGCAAGUCGAACGGCAGCACGGGUGCUUGCACCUGGUGGCGAGUGGCGAACGGGUGAGUAAUACAUCGGAAUGUACCUUGUAGUGGGGGAUAGCUCGGCGAAAGCCGGAUUAAUACCGCAUACGCUCUGAGGAGGAAAGCGGGGGACCUUCGGGCCUCGCGCUACAAGAGCAGCCGAUGUCAGAUUAGCUAGUUGGUGGGGUAAAAGCUCACCAAGGCGACGAUCUGUAGCUGGUCUGAGAGGACGACCAGCCACACUGGGACUGAGACACGGCCCAGACUCCUACGGGAGGCAGCAGUGGGGAAUUUUGGACAAUGGGCGAAAGCCUGAUCCAGCAAUGCCGCGUGUGUGAAGAAGGCCUUCGGGUUGUAAAGCACUUUUGUCCGGAAAGAAAUCCUUUGGGUUAAUACCUCGGGGGGAUGACGGUACCGGAAGAAUAAGCACCGGCUAACUACGUGCCAGCAGCCGCGGUAAUACGUAGGGUGCAAGCGUUAAUCGGAAUUACUGGGCGUAAAGCGUGCGCAGGCGGUUUUGUAAGACGGAUGUGAAAUCCCCGGGCUUAACCUGGGAACUGCAUUCGUGACUGCAAGGCUGGAGUAUGGCAGAGGGGGGUAGAAUUCCACGUGUAGCAGUGAAAUGCGUAGAGAUGUGGAGGAAUACCGAUGGCGAAGGCAGCCCCCUGGGCCAAUACUGACGCUCAUGCACGAAAGCGUGGGGAGCAAACAGG
rnacentral:rRNA from 1 species